rfam:Butyrivibrio fibrisolvens DSM 3071 genome assembly, contig: EJ22DRAFT_scaffold00004.4
UGACGUAAGGGUCAAAAGUCAUUUUGAUUCGAGCUUGCUCGAAAUCGAAUAUGAAUUUAUGACCCGCCAAAUAUGAGCAAAGUAGCACGUAGUGCGGAUUUGCGACGCGGCA